rnacentral:misc_RNA from 1 species
AACGCACAUUGCGCCCUUUGGUAUUCCGAAGGGCAUGCCUGUUCGAGCGUCAUUUCAAACCUCAAGCCCUGCUUGGUAUUGGGUCCGGCUCCCUUCGGGGCGGCCGUCCUGAAAGUCAGCGGCGAUGCUGUCUAGCCUCAGGCGUAGUAGAACUUUUUCGUCUCGCCUUGCGGGCUUAGGCUGCGCUCGCUGGAAAACCUUCAUCCAAAGGUUGACCUCGGAUCAGGUAGGGAUACCCGCUGAACUUAA